GCCAGGCGUGGUGGUGCAUGCCUGUAAUUCCAGCUACUCGGGAGGCUGAGACAGGAGAAUCGCUUGAACCCGGGAGGCGGAGGUUGCAGUGAGCCGAGAUCGCGCCACUGCACUCCAGCCUGGGCGACACAGCGAGACUCUGUCUCAA
ensembl:misc_RNA Metazoa_SRP Metazoan signal recognition particle RNA